AAACGCUGGCAUAUAGAGUAACUCUCAAAGGAGAUGGUGGUCCUCUUUCGUGUGGUCGCCGCUAGGGCACAACCUAGCGCUACCGUCUGGGGCGCCGUCAGCGUUUCCGGGGAGAGAGGCUAAUCCGCCUGUCAAUGCCUGGCCGCCGGUUUGUAGUUGUGUAGUUUGCUGUGAACUGUUGGCGUGUGCUGUUGAUUUAUGAGUGCUGUGUGCUGGCAAAAAUGCUGUCUACCUCAAAAAAAAGAAACUCAGCCUUGGUGCUUCGUGCCAGGGUGUGAUUCCGGCUACAGAUCUUGUUCGGUAAAAAGUGUCCCUUUUCCGUGCACCGACUUUCCAAGAACUGUUCUUGAAGUGGGCACGCGCCAUUCCGAGGGCUGACAAACCGCUUCGAGAGAAUUCCGCUGUUUGCGCAAAGCAUUUUGACGAAAGGUAAGUGUAAUAGAUAGCACGCUGACGUACGUUAUACCGCUUUCAAAACAAGUAGUACAACUACAAGCUGUUGCGAUCGGCAAGCCAUCCUUAUCCGCGGGGCGCCGGGACAGAAAAAAGGCAGUCGCUUCACUUUGUGGCGAUAAGGAAGAACGCGAAGACGCCCGGCUGGUUCUCAUGUGCCAGGAGGUGCAUGGUUGCAAUUUGCUCGAGACAGCACCAUUGUCGCCGGUGCCGGAGCGGAAAUGCGACACAUGGCGCCUUUGUGCCCCAGGAGAGGCCGCGACGCCGA
rnacentral:lncRNA from 1 species